rnacentral:rRNA from 1 species
UACGUAGGGAGCAAGCGUUGUCCGGAAUCAUUGGGCGUAAAGCGCGCGUAGGCGGCCAUGUAAGUCCGCUGUGAAAGUCAAAGGCUCAACCUUUGAAAGCCGGUGGAUACUGCAUGGCUAGAGUACGGAAGAGGCGAGUGGAAUUCCCGGUGUAGCGGUGGAAUGCGCAGAUAUCAGGAGGAACACCAAUAGCGAAGGCAGCUCGCUGGGACGUUACUGACACUGAGGCGCGAAAGCGUGGGGAGCGAACAGG